AGAGAGAGACAUGCGCGCAUAUCAAUAAGCGGAGGAAAAGAAACUAACAAGGAUUCCCUCAGUAACGGCGAGUGAAGCGAGAAGAGCUCAAAUUUGAAAUCUUCAAGGUUCUACCUUGACGAAUUGUAGUUUAAAGAAGUGUUUUCUGUUGAAGUUUUGGUAAAAGUUCUUUGGAAUAGGACAUCAUAGAGGGUGAGAAUCCCGUAUUUGACCAUUAUUUUCAGCUUUGUGAUACACUUUCAAAGAGUCGGAUUGUUUGGGAAUGCAGUCCAAAAUGGGUGGUAAAUUUCAUCUAAAGCUAAAUAUUGGCGAGAGACCGAUAGCGAACAAGUACCGUGAGGGAAAGAUGAAAAGAACUUUGAAAAGAGAGUUAAACAGUACGUGAAAUUGUCAAAAGGGAAGCGUUUGACACCAGUGUUGUUUUCUCGAAAAUCAAUUAAAAAUGGCUCGAUUUUGUAUUGUUGAGACCUUAAAAGCUCACUGUACAUUUUUCGUGUCUUUUUUAAUGCACUUUUCGUUUAACAAGUCAACAUCAGUUUCUUUUGUUGUAAAAGGGUCAUUGGAAGGUGGCUUUCUUUUCGGAGAAAGUGUUUAUAGCCUUUGGCCUCUGCAAUCGGGAGAGACUGAGGUCUGCAGCGUAGACUCUUCGGGGUUAGAUACAUUUGUGCUAAGUUAUAGCUUUUUAUAGACAACUUGUUGACUAUAAUUAGUCUUGUAGCUUACUCGCUUAUGCUAUUUUACCUACGCUUAGGAUGUUGAAGAUGUAGCACAUCAU
rnacentral:rRNA from 1 species